AGAGUUUGAUCCUGGCUCAGGAUAAACGCUGGCGGCGCACAUAAGACAUGCAAGUCGAACGAACUUAAUCGUUAGUUUACUAAUGAAGCGGUUAGUGGCGGACUGGUGAGUAACACGUAAGCAACCUGCCUAUUAGAGGGGAACAACAGUUAGAAAUGACUGCUAAUACCGCAUAUGCCAUAAGUAUCGCAUGAUACAAGUGGGAAAGGAGCAAUCCGCUAAUAGAUGGGCUUGCGUCUGAUUAGAUAGUUGGUGGGGUAACGGCCUACCAAGUCGACGAUCAGUAGCCGGACUGAGAGGUUGAACGGCCACAUUGGGACUGAGAUACGGCCCAGACUCCUACGGGAGGCAGCAGUCGGGAAUAUUGCGCAAUGGAGGAAACUCUGACGCAGUGACGCCGCGUGCAGGAAGAAGGUUUUCGGAUUGUAAACUGCUUUAGACAGGGAAGAAAAAGACAGUACCUGUAGAAUAAGCUCCGGCUAACUACGUGCCAGCAGCCGCGGUAAUACGUAGGGAGCGAGCGUUAUCCGGAUUCAUUGGGCGUAAAGCGCGCGUAGGCGGCCCGUCAAGCGGGGUUUCAAAUCCAGGGGCUCAACCUCUGGCCGGACCCCGAACUGGCGGGCUCGAGUGCGGUAGAGGAAGGUGGAAUUCCCAGUGUAGCGGUGAAAUGCGCAGAUAUUGGGAAGAACACCGAUGGCGAAGGCAGCCUUCUGGGCCGCCACUGACGCUGAGGCGCGAAAGCUAGGGGAGCGAACAGGAUUAGAUACCCUGGUAGUCCUAGCCGUAAACGAUGGGCACUAGGUGUGGGGGAGCAUCUCCUCCGUGCCGCAGCCAACGCAUUAAGUGCCCCGCCUGGGGAGUACGGCCGCAAGGCUAAAACUCAAAGGAAUUGACGGGGGCCC
rnacentral:rRNA from 1 species